AACGUAGGGGACAAGCGUUAUCCGGAUUUACUGGGCGUAAAGCGCCCGUAGGCGGCCUGACAAGUUGGACGUGAAAGCUCCUGGCUUAACUGGGAGAGGCCGUUCAAAACUGUCAAGCUAGAGUCUGGAAGAGGAGAGCGGAAUUCCCGGUGUAGUGGUGGAAUGCGUAGAGAUCGGGAGGAACACCAGUGGCGAAGGCGGCCAUCUGGACGUUCACUGACGCUGAGACGCGAAAGCGUGGGGAGCAAACAGG
rnacentral:rRNA from 1 species